UUGCGACGGUGUAGAGAAGGAAGCGAGCGUCCACAAAAGUAAACACACAUUAAUGCAGUGCCAUCAAUUCUGUGCGCCUUUUCAAGUCAGUGGGAAAGAAUUUCCAGAAGAGUGGCGUCUGUAACCCUGGACAGGAUAUUGCAUCCAUAUGGCAUUUCUUCCCCCUCCCUCAGAUAUGUUUCCAAUCAUCUUGCAUUGCUGAAGAGAGCUUGUGGUUUCCAACAUUGUCCUGCAGCUGAACCUGACCCAGUGCACUAUAUGGACGAUGAUGUCACCACGCACAGAGCGCCUUCGCUGGCUGUCAGCAGAGAUUCCCUUCAUCCCUGCCUGCUUACUCGUCGGCAACACCUUUAGCACAUACCGUGAGCACCGGCGCCACAGAAGCACCGCAGGCUCCGCCCCCACGGACACCUCCACACACCACUUUGAUCCAGCAGUCGGCCUGACGAGGAGAUGCCAGAUGAUUGGAAUGAGGAACUGAGAAAAAUGUCCCAUUUAAGAAGUCCACUUCCAAAAAAGCCCCAAGGUGUAAUCUGCAGCGAGCCACAAGAUGGAAGCGGCCUGACGCCAUGUUUUAAUGCGAUUGGGAAAGUGUGUCGUUUCCCUCCCAUCCUUUGGAGGACUUCAAAAAGUCAGUCGUGUGAUGUUUUUCUUUUUUUGGGGAGGAAGGGAUGGCAGAGCCUUUACUUUCACUUUCAUCUGCUGUGUGACUCUCUGAUGCUGCACUAAGGAGCCGGGCUAGGUUCUGCAUUUGUGGGAGCUCACAGCAACAAACAUGGAGGACUAGACUCGAGGUCAGGGGUCAGCGACCUUCUUCAAAGCAAGAGCUACUUCUUGGCUACUGAUUCAUGCCAAAGGCUCCCAGUUUGAUACACUUCAAUACA